UUUAGACCUAUCAACUACCUUUAGCUUCUCAAUCCUUUUCAACAAAUUGAUUUUUUUGCUUAACUUAAACUCCUAUUAUUGCAUGAAUACACAUUUAUUGAAAUAUUUCAUCCCCAAAAAAUGUUGUACCUCCCCCAUACUUCCAUAACUGUUUUUUUAUAAUAACCAGAAUUUCACAUUAACUAAGUCAUGGAUUAGGGUUCCGCUAUCACUUGUCGAAGCACGAUGCAACUGAAUCCAAAUGAAAUCCAUUGUAGCCGUUAAUAGAAAUGUUCAAAAAUAUCUGAAACUAGAAUGUAACGUGAAAUCUUUUUUAAAACGUUGUUAUGGAGGGCGGAAAAAGCAAAAAAAAGCAUACCGGGCUAAGAUAAAACCAUUCUAUCUUUCAUUAUCUUUUACAGAGUAUUCUUCCUCUUCAGUUAACAUUUCCUUUUGUUUCCUUUUCUUUCUCUUUGUUAUAUUUUUUUCAAUGUUUUUAGUUGGAGCUUUCUAGGUUUAUUCAUCUUUUUGUUUGUUUUAUUUUUUUGGUUGGGAUUUUUCAUCUUUCUGGUAAGGGUUUUGUACAGCGUGCACGCAGGUCUGUAUUUCUACUGUUUCCCUUUUUUUUUUUUGGGUUGGUUUCUCUGUGAUUUUUCCUUUUUUUUUGGUUGGUUUCUGUGUUUUACAUAGGAACAAGCCGAGCAGAGGAAGGGGCAGAGGAAAAGGAAGAGGCAAGGCAAAAUAAAGUGACAACUGAUAGAGGCAAAAUCCUUUUGCUAGGAAUAUUUGGCAAGUGAGGAAGGAUGGAGGAGUUGUGCUACAAGCUGAUUUUGCUAUUUUGAAUUGAAUGAUAAAACCACCGAGGAGGGAUGGGGGGAGUAAGAGAUAUUAAAGGGGACAUUCUCACCUGCUUGAAAUUGAAGGCUCUAUGCGUAGUCUACAUUCAGGCUCUCAUUGAGUCUAAUCUUGUAUCUGUUGCUGAAGAUACAGGGAUAUCCAUCGUCAAAGGAAAUGCUCCUAAAUAAAAAGCCUUUCUCUCCUAGUUGUGUGCAACUCUUCACAAUUAUCAACUGACUGUGAGUCAAAUGGAACAAGCAAAUCCUAUGGCUCCGAGUGAUAAGGGUGAUAGUAGUCAACAACAAUUUGGGAAGUUUAAACCGAACAGAGAGUCUGUUAAGUUCAAUGAAAACAUCAUCAACAAUAAUGUGAAUGCAGCAUCAGGUGCAACACAUAUUCUCGAUGGCGAAUGUUUGGGAUAACUCAACCAAUUUGUUGCUACCUAUUUCUUGGUGGACAUGGGUUGAUGAGAAUUCACAUGUCAUUCAUGAUGUCAAUGGGGUUUUCAAAUUAAAUGUAAAGGUGCUAGAAGGUCAUCAAUCAAAUAUCUUGGCAUGGUGCAUGCUCUAUACAACUCGAUAUACAUUAUAUUGGCAUUAUUUAAAAUCAAGGCAAUGCCCUCUAUGACAUUGAAAGAGACCAAUUAGGUUGUCCCAUUACAAGUUGAUUGUUGAUGUUAAUUGUCUAGCCCUUUGUUGCAUCAUUAAUUUGUAUCCUCUUUCAACUUUGCUUAAUAAUAAAUAAAUUGACAAGUUGCAAAAGCUUC